rnacentral:rRNA from 1 species
UACAGAGGGGGCAAGCGUUAUUCGGAAUUACUGGGCGUAAAGGGCGCGUAGGCGGUCCGAUAAGUCCCGUGUGAAAUCCCUCGGCUCAACUGAGGAACCGCACGGGAAACUGCCGGGCUUGAGUUCGGGAGAGGGAAGCGGAAUUCCGGGUGCAGCGGUGAAAUGCGUAGAUAUCCGGAGGAACACCGGUGGCGAAGGCGGCCUCCUGGACCGACACUGACGCUGAGGCGCGAAAGCUAGGGGAGCAAACGGG